AAGCUCAUUAAUAUUACCAUACCAGGCACAAAACGUGAGUAAACUACUUCUAUAAGACACUGAACAGAUGAUCAUAAGGUGAUGGUACAAAGCAAUUAUUCAUUUGAAAACUUUGAGCAUUAAAUAUUGAUAACACAAACACUGCUUUAGCAUAGCGCAAAACGUGAGUUGUUCUUGUUAUAUUUUUCCACAUGACUUAAAAAAAA